CGAGAUUGGGCCCUCUGCGCUCUGACCAC
rnacentral:sRNA from 1 species